rnacentral:pre_miRNA from 1 species
AUUCUACUCCCUCCGUUGCACAAUACAUGCCUUCUAUUUGUCAAAAUAUAUAUGUAUCUAGACAUGUUUUAGUAUAUAGGUACAUCCAUUUUUGGACAAAUGGAAGUCAAGUAUUUUGGAACGGAGGUAGUACACA